UUAGGAAUUUUGGGCAAUGGGCGCAAGCCUGACCCAGCAACGCCGCGUGGGUGACGAAGGCCUUCGGGUCGUAAAGCCCUUUUCUGGGGGACGAUGAUGACGGUACCCCAGGAAGAAGCACCGGCUAACUACGUGCCAGCAGCCGCGGUAAUACGUAGGGUGCAAGCGUUGCCCGGAUUUAUUGGGCGUAAAGGGCGCGUAGGCGGGGCCGCGCGUCGCUCGUGAAAUCUCCCGGCUUACCCGGGAGGGGUCGGGCGAUACGGCGGCUCUUGAGCGCGGGAGAGGGAAGCGGAAUUCCCGGUGUAGUGGUGGAAUGCGUAGAGAUCGGGAGGAACACCAGUGGCGAAGGCGGCUUCCUGGACCGUGGCUGACGCUGAGGCGCGAAAGCGUGGGGAGCGAUCCGG
rnacentral:rRNA from 1 species